CUUGGAGAACACGUGCCAUUAUGAUAACUCAUCAUAGAUGUAUUGCAAUUGUAUAAAUAACCUCACUGAGGAGUUAAAAAGAAUCCCAGUGGCAUAGGCAGCUGGUCAGCUGGCUGCUGAAGGACAAAGGGAGAAUAUGCUGUUGGUGCACAACACGUCUGAUCUCAGAAGGCAAAAUCAGCUACAUUUAUCUAUUUGACAGUCCCUGCCAGGCUGACAUGGAAAUGUCUAUUUAUGCAUCUGAGGUGCCUCUCUCAGGAAACAUGAUCAACAUUUUCAUUUGCAUCCAGAAACAGAGCCUUGAAGGAAUACCGAGCACCUGGAACUGGAAAUCUCUCAGAGGUGAGCUAGCCACCUGGGAGGCAGACUUUAUGAAUCCACAUCUUCUGCGCUCAGAGCAGGACAGCACAAAAUAAAUCCCUCAAGGGAUACUUGAAAGAGCAGGAGUCACGUUGUUAAGUAUAGACCAGAACUGUAUUCAUCAUGGUUUUAUUAAUAACCUUUUGCUCUUAAUCUUUCACUUGGAUGUUUGCCCUUAAGUCUUGCUUAACGUAAUUUGGCAGUUUCACCCCUCAGCUAGUCUGGCGCUAUGGAGAGGCAAGAUGAAACAGAUUGAAAGCAACAAGCUUUUGGUGGAAAAUGAAGGCAAAGAAGGAUACACAGUGUCUUAAGAGAUAAGUGUCUCCCGUGACAGGGUCAGAGAAGAUCAGAGCUUGCAAAUAUUUUCCUCCUAUGUUCAAAGAGUUGCUGGGGGAUGCACAGGAAGAGGAGACUUUAGUAGGAGGAGAGGAAUAACCCUGAUGGCAAUGAACUAACUCCUCUCUUGUAAGAAACAGAUGGCAGAGAAAUACUGCACAGUUCUGGACGUCCUCUGGAUUUUCAAACAAGUUCUGAUGCCGUGUUUGGUUGUUAUGAGAAGGCAGAAGGUCCUUUUUCACUGCCACCGGGAGCAUGCCAGUUUUAUCAAAGCUAUCCAGGGGUACCAGAUGACAACAACUUUCAAAAUAGUCACAAGAGAAUAGACAACGACUGAAUAUCAAACAGCAACUUGCCAUGGUGUGUGUUUGCACCUGGAUAUUGUUGUUGACAUGCCAGUACAGAGCAUUCUAUGAACCAAAGCACCUCCUCCCACUUGUUCAAAAGCAGCGAAUGGUGCUAACGCUCUGCUACAAGAGAAGGCUCUCUAUCCAUUACUGACUGCAGAAGAGGGUACAAACCUGCGCCAUGAACACCUACGAUUAAACCCCAG
ensembl:lncRNA